GUCCUAGCAGUAAACGAUGGAUACUAGGUGUUGGGGAAAUUGACCCCUCAGUGCCGCAGUUAACACAAUAAGUAUCCCGCCUGGGGAGUACGGUCGCAAGAUUAAAACUCAAAGGAAUUGACGGGGGCCCGCACAAGCAGCGGAGCGUGUGGUUUAAUUCGACGCAACGCGAAGAACCUUACCAGGGCUUGACAUGCUAUGUUCAGCGGUGGAAACAUCGUGGCCGCAAGGCGAAUAGCACAGAUGCUGCAUGGCUGUCGU
rnacentral:rRNA from 1 species